rnacentral:rRNA from 1 species
CCUACGGGUGGCUGCAGUGGGGGAUAUUGCACAAUGGGGGAAACCCUGAUGCAGCGACGCCGCGUGGGCGAAGAAGUAUUUCGGUAUGUAAAGCCCUAUCAGCAGGGAAGAAGAACUGACGUUACCUGAGUAAGCAGCCCCGGCUAACUACGUGCCAGCAGCCGCGGUAAUACGUAUGGUGAAAGCGUUAUCCGGCUUUACUGGGUGUAAAGGGCGCGCAGGCGGACCGGCAAGCCUGAUGUGAAAGCCCGCGGCCCAACCGCGGGACUGCAUUGGGAACUACCGGGCUGGAGUGCAGGAGAGGUAGGCGGAAUUCCUAGUGUAGCGGUGAAAUGCGUAGAUAUUAGGAGGAACACCAGUGGCGAAGGCGGCCUACUGGACGGUGACUGACGCUGAGGCUCGAAAGCGUGGGGAGCAAACAGGAUUAGAUACCCGUGUAGUC